rnacentral:rRNA from 1 species
UGAGGGAAUAUUGGGACAAUGGAUGGAAAUCUGAUCCAGCCAUGCCGCGUGCAGGAAGACGGUCCUAUGGAUUGUAAACUGCUUUAGCAUGGGAGCAAUAAGGUGUACGCGUACACCGAUGAGAGUACCAUGAGAAUAAGCACCGGCUAACUCCGUGCCAGCAGCCGCGGUAAUACGGAGGGUGCAAGCGUUAUCCGGAUUUAUUGGGUUUAAAGGAGCGCAGGCUGCGAGGCAAGUCAGCGGUCAAAUGUCGGGGCUCAACCCGGCCUGCCGUUGAAACUGUCCUGCUAGAGUUCGAGUGAGGUAUGCGGAAUGCGUUGUGUAGCGGUGAAAUGCAUAGAUAUGACGCAGAACUCCGAUUGCGAAGGCAGCAUACCAACUCGCGACUGACGCUGAGGCUCGAAAGCGUGGGGUAUC